AUUGAACGCUGGCGGCAGGCCUAACACAUGCAAGUCGAGCGGAGCGGCGGCCGCGUGAGUAAUACCUAGGAAUCUGCCUGGUAGUGGUGGAUAACGUUCGGAAACGGGCGCUAUUACCGCUUACUAUCACAUUCGCCUCGGUCGGAUUAGCUAGGUGGUGGGGUAAGGGCCUACACAGGCGACGAUCCCUAACUGGUCCGAGAGGAUGAUCAGUCACACUGGAACUGAGACACGGUCCAUACUCCUACGGGUGGCAGCAGUGGGGGAUAUUGGACAAUUGGCGAAAGCCUGCUCCAGCCAUGCCGCGUGUGUGAAGAAGGUCUUCGGAUUGUAAAGCACUUUAAGUUGGGAGGCGUUACCAACAGAAUAAGCACCGGCUAACGUCGUGCUAGCAGCCGCGGUAAUUC
rnacentral:rRNA from 1 species